rnacentral:lncRNA from 1 species
ACGUACAACUUGAAAAUCAACCCUCAAUUGUCCAUCUCCAUAAAAUUGAGGGGUUAUCUGAUAUGUAGUGUUCCCCGAUUUCUAACUCGUUCUAGGGUGAAGGGACAAACAACAAAUCUGGGUUCCUCUUGCUUCUAGGUGGACUUUUCAUGAGAAACACAGUUCAGGAGCACAGCGCUUUCCGCUUUGCUGUGCAGUUAUACAACACCAACCAGAACACCACUGAGAAGCCUUUCCAUCUGAAUUACCACGUAGAUCACUUGGAUUCUUCCAAUAGUUUUUCUGUGACUAAUGCUUAUAGCUCUGAUAGGAAUGGAUAAGACUACAAACUGAUUCCAAGUGAUGAAGCCUGGCGAACUCUAAGGAAGGAAAAAGACUGUGCUCAGGUGAAUAUUUGAAAAGCAAGUUCUUGUCUCUUCGUAUUGUUCACUGCCCCUUCCACAUUGUUAAAGACAACACAGUUCCUAGUUUACAGCAAGAGGCUGGGCAGCAGAGAGAAGCUUGGAGCAGGAAAAACUGAACAACAACAUGAAGAAUUUCAUAGGCUCCAAAGUUAUUUCUAAAAUCCACAGUUGUGCCCAUGAUUAUUUCUCUGGGGAGGGAACAUUUUAAAAAGUAAUAAUACUUUUAAGCCAAAAUGGCUUAAGAGUUCGUUGGACACAAGACUAGCUGAAUGGACUAUUUUAUGAGAAAGGCCAAAAAUUCUUCAUUCAAGCUGAUUUCACCAAAAGUUUAAGAACAAUGAGGCC